ACACCGGGUCUUGCCUCAGUACGGCGAGUGAAGCGGCAACAGCUCAAAUUUGAAAUCUGGCUCCUUCGGGGCCCGAGUUGUAAUUUGCAGAGGAUGCGUCGGGUACGGGUGCCUUCCGAGUUCCCUGGAACGGGACGCCAUAGAGGGUGAGAGCCCCGUCUGGUAGGAUACCCAGCCCGUGUGACGCUCCCUCGACGAGUCGAGUAGUUUGGGAAUGCUGCUCUAACGGGAGGUAUACUCCUUCCAAGGCUAAAUACCGGCUGGAGACCGAUAGCGCACAAGUAGAGUGAUCGAAAGAUGAAAAGCACUUUGAAAAGAGAGUCAAACAGCACGUGAAAUUGUUAAAAGGGAAGCGCUCGCUACCAGACUUGGGUUCGGCGGUUCAACCGGGGCCACGCCCCGGGGCAUUCCGCCGGCCCAGGCCAGCAUCAGCUUUCCGUCGGGGGUAAAGGCGUCGGGAAUGUGGCUCCCCUUCGGGGGAGUGUUAUAGCCCGUCGUGUCAUACCCUUCGGGGGGCUGAGGUACGCGCUUCUGCAAGGAUGCUGGCGUAAUGGUAGCUAGUGACCCGUCUUAAAAACCGGAACCAAAUAUAUACCGA
rnacentral:rRNA from 1 species